AUUCCUCACCCGAUCGUCGUCUUCCCCGUCACUCCUUCUGAUCACAUUUACACGCACUGUCUGUCGAUUCCUUAGAUCAUGAACUCUUCUCUCACAAAGGCCGUGUAGUCCAUGUCGUUGUGGCAGCCGGAGAC
ensembl:ncRNA F47C8.7 ncRNA